rnacentral:rRNA from 1 species
GAGCCGGUAAAACUCGUGCCAGCCACCGCGGUUAUACGAGAGGCUCAAGUUGACAGACAACGGCGUAAAGAGUGGUUAGGGAAACUUUUAAAACUAAAGCCGAACGUCCUCAAAGCUGUUUAACGCUUUCGAGUUAAGAAGGUCUUUAACGAAAGUAGCUUUACCAAACCUGACCCCACGAAAGCUGUGAAACAAACUGGGAUUAGAUACCCCACUAUGCUCAGCCCUAAAAUUCGAUAGGUCACUACGCCCCCUAUCCGCCCGGGUACUACGAGCAUCAGCUUAAAACCCAAAGGACUUGGCGGUGCUUCACAUCCGUCUAGAGGAGCCUGUCCUAUAACCGAUAACCCCCGUUAAACCUCACCCUCCCUUGUUAAUCCCGCCUAUAUACCGCCGUCGUCAGCCUACCCUGUGAAGGACUAGAAGUGAGCAAGAUUGGUAAGACCCAAAACGUCAGGUCGAGGUGUAGUAUAUGAGAGGGGAAGAGAUGGGCUACAUUUCCUAAAUCAGGAAAUACGAACAAUGAACUGAAAUAAGCAUUAGAAGGUGGAUUUAGCAGUAAGCAGAGAAACAGAGUGUCCUGCUGAAAUUAAUGGCAAUAAAGCACGUACACACCGCCCGU